GACUUGGUGGCUGACAUCGGAAGCGAAACGUCCAAAUCUUAGUUAUAUAUCGCGAAUAGUUUCCACGAGGCAUGACAACAGUUCACGGCAUGGCGGGGUGUGCCUUGGUGUUUGAAACAAGGAGUAACCAACACUAAAUAAGCAACGGAGCUUGUUUUGUCCUUUAUUCUGGCCUUUUUUAUUUUAGAGAGGAGGCGGGGAGGGGGAAACAGGCGACCAACUCGCGAUGCUAAAUACUUUGAAAAAUAAAUUGAUAUUAUGCCACGCGCC
rnacentral:sRNA from 1 species